rnacentral:rRNA from 1 species
AGAGUUGAUCCUGGCUUAGGAUGAACGCUGGCGGCGUGCCUAACACAUGCAAGUCGAACGGGUUAAGGGAAAUUUCGGAUGGAACUUAACUAGUGGCGGACGGGUGAGUAACGCGUGGAUAACCUGCCUCACACUGGGGGAUAGCAGCUGGAAACGGCUGGUAAUACCGCAUAAGACCCCGGUGCCGCAUGGCACCGAGGUAAAAGAUUUAUCGGUGUGAGAUGGAUCCGCGUCUGAUUAGCCAGUUGGCGGGGUAACGGCCCACCAAAGCGACGAUCAGUAGCCGGCCUGAGAGGGUGAACGGCCACAUUGGGACUGAGACACGGCCCAAACUCCUACGGGAGGCAGCAGUGGGGAAUAUUGCACAAUGGGCGCAAGCCUGAUGCAGCAACGCCGCGUGAGUGAAGAAGUAUUUCGGUAUGUAAAGCUCUAUCGGCAGGGAAGAAAGGCCCGAAAGGGAGAUGACGGUACCUGACUAAGAAGCCCCGGCUAACUACGUGCCAGCAGCAGC